UCCCUGGUAGCUCAGAUGGUAAAGAAUCUGCCUGAAAUGCAGGAGACCUGGGUUUGAUCCCUGGGUUGGGAA
rnacentral:tRNA from 1 species